rnacentral:rRNA from 1 species
GGGAGGUAGUGACAAUAAAUAACAAUACAGGGUUCUUUUGGAUCUUGUAAUUGGAAUGAGUACAAUUUAAAUCUCUUAACGAGGAACAAUUGGAGGGCAAGUCUGGUGCCAGCAGCCGCGGUAAUUCCAGCUCCAAUAGCGUAUAUUAAAGUUGUUGCAGUUAAAAAGCUCGUAGUUGAAUUUCGGGACCAAUUUGUUGGUCGUGCCUCGGUACGUACUGGUAUUAUUGGUUUCUCCCUUCUGAAGAACCUUGAUGUCAUUAAUUUGGUGUCUUGGGGAAUCAGGACUGUUACUUUGAAAAAAUUAGAGUGUUUAAAGCAGGCAUACGCUUGAAUACAUUAGCAUGGAAUAAUGAAAUAGGACGUUCGAUCUUAUUUUGUUGGUUUCUAGGAUUGACGUAAUGAUUAAUAGGGAUAGUUGGG